UCAAAGAAAGCAUGGCAUUCUUUAUCGUUACACUCGUACUUUCUCUCUCUUAUGCGAUGGCCUGUGAUGGAUGCGUCCAUCGAUUAAAGCUGGGCCAUGUCGUUAUGGCUCCAUGGCAUUGCUUUCAAUUGUGGGGUACGUUGCUGCUGCUUUGUGCCGGAAGGAAUUGAUUGUUUUCAGGGCAUUAAGACAUCAUAUGAUAGCGAGUAUCUCCCAUCAUGAAUGCACAUCGAGGGGUGGAGUUGGCAUACGGAUGCAUCCGUAGCAAUAA